AUAGACUCUGUCCAGGGUUGAGCUGACAGUAAGCCCACCUGUAGGAAACAGGGUUGUCCUACAAGGGGAUGGCUCUGUGCCGAAAGCAUGGGGAAGACU